AAAUUGAAGAGUUUGAUCAUGGCUCAGAUUGAACGCUGGCGGCAGGCCUAACACAUGCAAGUCGAGCGGUAGCACAGAGAGCUUGCUCUCGGGUGACGAGCGGCGGACGGGUGAGUAAUGUCUGGGAAACUGCCUGAUGGAGGGGGAUAACUACUGGAAACGGUAGCUAAUACCGCAUAAUGUCGCAAGACCAAAGUGGGGGACCUUCGGGCCUCAUGCCAUCAGAUGUGCCCAGAUGGGAUUAGCUAGUAGGUGGGGUAACGGCUCACCUAGGCGACGAUCCCUAGCUGGUCUGAGAGGAUGACCAGCCACACUGGAACUGAGACACGGUCCAGACUCCUACGGGAGGCAGCAGUGGGGAAUAUUGCACAAUGGGCGCAAGCCUGAUGCAGCCAUGCCGCGUGUGUGAAGAAGGCCUUCGGGUUGUAAAGCACUUUCAGCGGGGAGGAAGGCGAUAAGGUUAAUAACCUUGUCGAUUGACGUUACCCGCAGAAGAAGCACCGGCUAACUCCGUGCCAGCAGCCGCGGUAAUACGGAGGGUGCAAGCGUUAAUCGGAAUUACUGGGCGUAAAGCGCACGCAGGCGGUCUGUCAAGUCGGAUGUGAAAUCCCCGGGCUCAACCUGGGAACUGCAUUCGAAACUGGCAGGCUAGAGUCUUGUAGAGGGGGGUAGAAUUCCAGGUGUAGCGGUGAAAUGCGUAGAGAUCUGGAGGAAUACCGGUGGCGAAGGCGGCCCCCUGGACAAAGACUGACGCUCAGGUGCGAAAGCGUGGGGAGCAAACAGGAUUAGAUACCCUGGUAGUCCACGCCGUAAACGAUGUCGAUUUGGAGGUUGUGCCCUUGAGGCGUGGCUUCCGGAGCUAACGCGUUAAAUCGACCGCCUGGGGAGUACGGCCGCAAGGUUAAAACUCAAAUGAAUUGACGGGGGCCCGCACAAGCGGUGGAGCAUGUGGUUUAAUUCGAUGCAACGCGAAGAACCUUACCUGGUCUUGACAUCCACAGAACUUUCCAGAGAUGGAUUGGUGCCUUCGGGAACUGUGAGACAGGUGCUGCAUGGCUGUCGUCAGCUCGUGUUGUGAAAUGUUGGGUUAAGUCCCGCAACGAGCGCAACCCUUAUCCUUUGUUGCCAGCGGU
rnacentral:rRNA from 1 species